CCCACCCCUACUCCUCUCCCCUUGGCGGCCCACCCCUCCCAGAAGCCUCAGACGCGGGGCGGGCCUGCUGAGCCUUACUCCGCCCCCGACACAACACCUCGGCCCGUACAGCCAAUCAAAGAGGCUAAUUUUGCCCCUUCUCCCGAGGCAGCCAAUGUGGUGCGGCUCGGGAUACACCCCCUUCCCAGCUGAGAGCGCACAACACAGCGUCCACGUGAGUCAGCUUCUUAAAGGAGACCACGCAGCCUUGCUAAUGGCAGCAGCUGGGACUCAUCGUGCGUCAUCAGCGUCACCAGGUGGCAGAUGAGGCCUAGCUUUCUCUGUCCAAUGAGGCCCAGAGACGACAAAUGAAAAUAGGAUGUUUUCUAGACAAAGCAGAGGCUUGAACUUGAGACCUUGGGCUUAGUGAGGCAGGUGGCAGAACCACUGAGCGAAAUCCCCAGCCCUGCUACUAAAUUGUUAGCUGCUUUAAUUUUGAUACCUCUAUGAGGUUGAUCAAAGUGAAAUGGGGCAUCCGGUGGACACUGGUCCAACCUGACUGCUGUCCUUAUGAGGCUGCAGAUUGGGAAGGAAGCACAGAGAUACAACUGGGGACCGGGAUCCUACAUAAGGAACACACCACGCGGGAGCACCUGGGAAGAAGGCCAGGCAUUCUCAGGCCUGGGCAGAGGGGCUGUAGGCGUCGCCUUGCCUGCCCGAUCUGAAUUCCAACCCCCUGCGAGAAGACACUUUUCAGUGUAAGCCUCCCAGUGUGAGAUAUCUUGUUGUGGCAGCCUAAGCAAAUUACAAUAUAGAGGUUUGUUUCUGUACAGGGGAACUUCCCAUAUUAUGUAACGCCAACUGGUUAUUUGUCUUACAGGAAAAGUAAUGAUUUUGUUGCUUGUUUUCCUUAAUUUUCUGGAUAGAAUAAUUUCCUUAUUUAUAAAUGAUCAUAAUCUGGCUACUACUUUCCAAUCACUUUGGCUUUUAUUUCUUUUUAAAUCUUUGCCUAUAUCUUUGAAUAUGUACGGAUAUUUCUUUCCAGUAAAUUCCUAACCGGGAGUGGUGGUGCAGGCCUAUAUUCCCGGCCCCCUGGAGGCUGAGGCAGGG